rnacentral:rRNA from 1 species
UACGUAGGGUGCGAGCGUUAAUCGGAAUUACUGGGCGUAAAGCGUGCGCAGGCGGUUAUAUAAGACAGAUGUGAAAUCCCCCGGCUCAACCCGGGACCUGCAAUUGUGACUGUAUAGCUUGAGUACGGUAGAGGGGGGUGGAAUUCCGCGUGUAGCAGGGAAAUGCGUAGAUAUUCGGAGGAACACCGAUGGCGAAGGCAAUCCCCUGGACCUGUACUGACGCUCAUGCACGAAAGCGUGGGGAGCAAACAGGAUUAGAUCCCCUGGUAGUCCACGCCCUAAACGAUGUCAACUGGUUGUUGGGUCUUCACUGACUCAGUAACGAAGCUAACGCGUGAAGUUGACCGCCUGGGGAGUACGGCCGCAAGGUUG